rnacentral:tRNA from 1 species
GGCGAUUUAGCUCAGUUGGUUAGAGCGUGUGCUUAACACUUGGACACUGUUGUCAAGAGUUGCGCACAAGGUCGGCGGUUCGACCCCGUCAAACGUCA